rnacentral:rRNA from 1 species
AAAUUGAAGAGUUUGAUCAUGGCUCAGAUUGAACGCUGGCGGCAGGCCUAACACAUGCAAGUCGAACGGUAGCACAGAGAGCUUGCUCUCAGGUGACGAGUGGCGGACGGGUGAGUAAUGUCUGGGAAACUGCCCGAUGGAGGGGGAUAACUACUGGAAACGGUAGCUAAUACCGCAUAACGUCGCAAGACCAAAGAGGGGGACCUUCGGGCCUCUUGCCAUCGGAUGUGCCCAGAUGGGAUUAGCUUGUAGGUGAGGUAACGGCUCACCUAGGCGACGAUCCCUAGCUGGUCUGAGAGGAUGACCAGCCACACUGGAACUGAGACACGGUCCAGACUCCUACGGGAGGCAGCAGUGGGGAAUAUUGCACAAUGGGCGCAAGCCUGAUGCAGCCAUGCCGCGUGUAUGAAGAAGGCCUUCGGGUUGUAAAGUACUUUCAGCGGGGAGGAAGGGAGUGAGGUUAAUAACCU